CACAUUUUAUUUGCAACAAAUGAUGUCCAUCUUCCUUCAUAGUCCAUCCGGUUAUUGUAACAAAAGAUCCUAAGAGUUGGCAUCAUAUUUAUAUGAAACUCUGAGUAGAGAGAAUACAGAAAAAUGCAAAAUCAACAUGUAGACUCCUGCCUUGGGGAUAUGGUAUUCUAUUCUUAAAUCAACUAGUUUCCAAGCCUUGGGUAACCAUUGAUGAUGCAAAUCCGUUGCCUCUGCCAUAAUCAUUUCAUGGAAUAUCUUCUUUGACUUGUGAUUCAAUCUUAGCAACACAAAGAUCAUGAACGUGCGGUUAUUUGUG
rnacentral:lncRNA from 1 species